ACUCAAUAUAGCUUAAUUUUAGAGCAAAUCAUUGAAGCUGAUUAGGUGUUAAAACUAUGAGUA
rnacentral:tRNA from 1 species